rnacentral:tRNA from 1 species
GGCAGCCCCACAAGCCCCUUCAGCGAGCAGAUUCGCGCACGCUUGCGGGUUAAGAUCGGCCCCCCAUGUGGAAAGCC